rnacentral:rRNA from 1 species
UACAUGGGGUGCAAACGUUGCUCGGAAUCAUUGGGCGUAAAGCGCGCGUAGGCGGUUACUUAAGUUGGAUGUGAAAGCCCUCGGCUUAACCGAGGAACUGCCCUCCAAACUGCUUGGCUUGAGUCCGGGAGAGGUGAGUGGAAUUCCCAGUGUAGCGGUGAAAUGCGUAGAUAUUGGGAGGAACACCAGUGGCGAAGGCGGCUCACUGGACCGGAACUGACGCUGAGGCGCGAAAGCGUGGGGAGCAAACGGG